rnacentral:rRNA from 1 species
UGGGGGAUAUUGCACAAUGGGCGAAAGCCUGAUGCAGCGACGCCGCGUGGGGGAUGAAGGCCUUCGGGUUGUAAACUUCUUUUGCUCUGAACAAGGCAUGCCUUUGGGGUGUGUUGAGUGUAGGGGUUGAUUAGCGCCGGCUAACUACGUGCCAGCAGCCGCGGUAAUACGUAGGGCGCGAGCGUUGUCCGGAAUUAUUGGGCGUAAAGGGCUUGUAGGUGGCUGGUUGCGUCUGUCGUGAAAGCUCAUGGCUUAACUGUGGGUUUGCGGUGGGUACGGGCUGGCUUGAGUGCAGUAGGGGAGGCUGGAAUUCCUGGUGUAGCGGUGGAAUGCGCAGAUAUCAGGAGGAAUACCGGUGGCGAAGGUGGGUCUCUGGGCUGUUACUGACGCUGAGGAGCGAAAGCGUGGGGAGCGAACAGG